rnacentral:rRNA from 1 species
CCUACGGGAGGCAGCAGUAAGGAAUAUUGGUCAAUGGACGCAAGUCUGAACCAGCUAUGCCGCGUGAAGGAUUAAGGUCCUCUGGAUUGUAAACUUCUUUUAUCUGGGACGAAAAAAGGUCUUUCUAGACCCCUUGACGGUACCAGAUGAAUAAGCACCGGCUAACUCCGUGCCAGCAGCCGCGGUAAUACGGAGGAUCCAAGCGUUAUCCGGAAUCAUUGGGUUUAAAGGGUCCGCAGGCGGACAUAUAAGUCAGUGGUGAAAGCCUACAGCUCAACUGUAGAACUGCCAUUGAUACUGUAUGUCUUGAAUUCGGUCGAAGUGGGCGGAAUAUGACAUGUAGCGGUGAAAUGCUUAGAUAUGUCAUAGAACACCGAUAGCGAAGGCAGCUCACUAGGCCUGGAUUGACGCUCAGGGACGAAAGCGUGGGUAGCAAACAGGAUUAGAUACCCCUGUAGUCCGGGCCGUAAACGAUGAACACUAGGUGUCGGGGGAAUCGACCCCCUCGGUGUCGUAGCCAACGCGUUAAGUGUUCCGCCUGGGGAGUACGCACGCAAGUGUGAAACUCAAAUGAAUUGACGG